AGAGUUUGAUCCUGGCUCAGGAUGAACGCUAGCGGCAGGCUUAACACAUGCAAGUCGAGGGGCAGCAUAAUGGAUAGCAAUAUCUAUGGUGGCGACCGGCGCACGGGUGCGUAACGCGUAUGCAACCUACCUUUAACAGGGGGAUAACACUGAGAAAUUGGUACUAAUACCCCAUAAUAUCAUAGAAGGCAUCUUUUAUGGUUGAAAAUUCCGAUGGUUAGAGAUGGGCAUGCGUUGUAUUAGCUAGUUGGUGGGGUAACGGCUCACCAAGGCGACGAUACAUAGGGGGACUGAGAGGUUAACCCCCCACACUGGUACUGAGACACGGACCAGACUCCUACGGGAGGCAGCAGUGAGGAAUAUUGGUCAAUGGACGCAAGUCUGAACCAGCCAUGCCGCGUGCAGGAUGACGGCUCUAUGAGUUGUAAACUGCUUUUGUACGAGGGUAAACGCAGAUACGUGUAUCUGUCUGAAAGUAUCGUACGAAUAAGGAUCGGCUAACUCCGUGCCAGCAGCCGCGGUAAUACGGAGGAUUCAAGCGUUAUCCGGAUUUAUUGGGUUUAAAGGGUGCGUAGGCGGUUUGAUAAGUUAGAGGUGAAAUUUCGGGGCUCAACCCUGAACGUGCCUCUAAUACUGUUGAGCUAGAGAGUAGUUGCGGUAGGCGGAAUGUAUGGUGUAGCGGUGAAAUGCUUAGAGAUCAUACAGAACACCGAUUGCGAAGGCAGCUUACCAAACUAUAUCUGACGUUGAGGCACGAAAGCGUGGGGAGCAAACAGGAUUAGAUACCCUGGUAGUCCACGCAGUAAACGAUGAUAACUCGUUGUCGGCGAUACACAGUCGGUGACUAAGCGAAAGCGAUAAGUUAUCCACCUGGGGAGUACGUUCGCAAGAAUGAAACUCAAAGGAAUUGACGGGGGCCCGCACAAGCGGAGGAACAUGUGGUUUAAUUCGAUGAUACGCGAGGAACCUUACCCGGGCUUGAA
rnacentral:rRNA from 1 species